rnacentral:rRNA from 1 species
AUUGAACGCUGGCGGAAUGCUUUACACAUGCAAGUCGAACGGUAGAGGGGGCAACCCCUCGAGAGUGGCGAACGGGUGAGUAAUAUAUCGGAACGUGCCCAGUCGUGGGGGAUAACGUAGCGAAAGUUACGCUAAUACCGCAUACGAUCUAAGGAUGAAAGCGGGGGACCGCAAGACCUCGCGCGAUUUGAGCGGCCGAUAUCAGAUUAGGUAGUGGGUGGGGUAAAGGCUCACCAAGCCAACGAUCUGUAGCUGGUCUGAGAGGACGACCAGACACACUGUAACUGAGACACGGUCCAGACUACUACGGGAGGCAGCAGUGGGGAAUUUUGGACAAUUGACGCAAGUAUGAUCCAGCCAUUCCGCGUGCAGGAUGAAGGCCCUCGGGUUGUAAACUGCUUUUGUACGGAACGAAAAGGUCUCUCUUAAUACGGGGGACUCAUGACGGUACCGUAUGAAUAAGCACCGGCUAACUACGUGCCAGCAGCCGCCGUAA